rnacentral:rRNA from 1 species
UACGUAGGGGGCAAGCGUUGUCCGGAAUCAUUGGGCGUAAAGCGCGCGCAGGCGGUUCUUUAAGUCUGAUGUGAAAGCCCACGGCUCAACCGUGGAGGGUCAUUGGAAACUGGAGAACUUGAGUACAGAAGAGGAAAGCGGAAUUCCACGUGUAGCGGUGAAAUGCGUAGAGAUGUGGAGGAACACCAGUGGCGAAGGCGGCUCGCUGGGACGGUACUGACGCUGAGGAGCGAAAGCGUGGGAGCGAACAGG